GGCUCAGAUUGAACGCUGGCGGAAUGCUUUACACAUGCAAGUCGAACGGCAGCACGGACUUCGGUCUGGUGGCGAGUGGCGAACGGGUGAGUAAUAUAUCGGAACGUGCCCAGUCGUGGGGGAUAACGUAGUGAAAAUUACGCUAAUACCGCAUACGAUCUAAGGAUGAAAGCGGGGGAUCGCAAGACCUCGCGCGAUUGGAGCGGCCGAUAUCAGAUUAGGUAGUUGGUGAGGUAAAGGCUCACCAAGCCAACGAUCUGUAGCUGGUCUGAGAGGACGACCAGCCACACUGGAACUGAGACACGGUCCAGACUCCUACGGGAGGCAGCAGUGGGGAAUUUUGGACAAUGGGCGCAAGCCUGAUCCAGCAAUGCCGCGUGCAGGAUGAAGGCCUUCGGGUUGUAAACUGCUUUUGUACGGAACGAAAAGGUCUGGGUUAAUACCCUGGGCUCAUGACGGUACCGUAAGAAUAAGCACCGGCUAACUACGUG
rnacentral:rRNA from 1 species